AGCUGCGGCUGUGGCUGAGGGAGGGGCUCAGAGGCGGCGGGUCCCGGCGCUGCAGCACCAUGGCAGACCAGCUUUAUUUGGAAAAUAUAGACGAGUUCGUCACGGACCAAAACAAGAUCGUGACAUACAAAUGGCUGAGCUAUACGCUAGGGGUUCAUGUAAACCAGGCCAAACAGAUGCUGUAUGAUUAUGUUGAAAGGAAGCGAAAGGAAAAUUCAGGAGCCCAACUGCACGUCACCUAUUUGGUAUCCGGCAGUCUCAUUCAGAAUGGACAUUCCUGCCACAAGGUCGCAGCAGUGAGAGAAGAUAAAUUGGAAGCAGUGAAGUCCAAGCUAGCUGUGGCUGCCAGCAUCCAUGUGUACAGCAUCCAGAAAGCCAUGCUAAAGGACAGUGGGCCUCUGUUCAAUACUGACUAUGACAUCCUUAAAAGCAACUUGCAGAACUGUAGCAAGUUUAGUGCCAUACAAUGUGCAGCUGCAGUCCCUAGAGCUCCUGCUGAAUCCUCAUCUUCCAAAAAGUUUGAGCAGUCACACCUUCCGGUGUCAAGUGAGAUACAAGCCAACAAUGAGCUCACAAUCAAUGGUCAUGGCCCACCUGCCUCCAAACAGACUUCCCAGCAGCCCAAAGGGAUUAUGGGAAUGUUUGCCUCUAAAGCUGCUACUAAAACCCAAGAAACCAACAAAGAAACUAAAACAGAGGCUAAAGAAGGAACAAAUCCAUCUUUGGCAGGCAGCAAGGCACCAGGGAAAGGGAAUGUGGGGAGCAACUUUUUUGGAAAAGCUGCUAUGAAUAAACUUAAAGUCAAUUUGGAUUCAGAACAAGCAGUGAAAGAAGAAAAAAUAGUGGAGCAACCUCCAGAGUCUGUCACCGAACCAAAGCUGGCAGCUCCUGCAGGCCUGAAGAAAUCCAGCAAAAAAGCAGAGCCUGUUAAGAUGCAGCAGAAGGAAAAAAAGAAAAGGGGAAGAGAGAUGAUGAGACAAAGGAAACUGAAAAUAUGAAGAAAAAAGGAGAAGAAUCAAACUUCCUGAGUCUGACGGCAGUGAAGAUGAAGUCUUCCCAGACUCUCCUGGGGCUUCUGAAGCUGAGUCACCCUCCCUCCCUCCUCCUGUGUCUCCACCUCUUGAACCAGUGCCAAAGACUGAUUCCGAACCUCCUUCCAUCAAGAGCUCAAGUGGAGAAAACAAAAGAAAACGAAAACAUGUACUGAAAUCUAAAACUUUUGUGGAUACAGAUGGCUCUGUGGUGACUGAAAAAUUCUACGAGAGUGAGUCCUGCACAGAUAGUUGAAGAGGAGCUUAAGAUCAAGACAUGCUCUGUACACAGACCCUCAGCCAUGCCUGUGAAAAAAGAACCCAAAGAGGAACGAAAGGGCCCCAAGAAAGGGAUUGCUGCUCUGGGCAAAGGCAACAGACAAGUGUCUAUUACUGGCUUCUUCCACAGGAAAUAAACUGCCAUCUCUGGUAGGUCAGAGACUUGGAGUGGUCAAGGGAGAAGACCAAGAAGUAUAGACUCUCUCACUUACUGUGUAAGUUCAUCUAGAUGCUCACCUCACCUGUAUCGAAAGACUGUUCUUUCAUCUUGUGAGGUUUAUACUAUUUCUGGUUUUUAACCAAAAGGAAAUCACCUGGAAGCAGGAGGCAAAAGAAUAUUUUAAAAGCUGUAACCUUCUAAUGACAUUUUUAAAGCACAAUCUUUGACCUGCCCAGAAGAAUUUAUUCCAAAAUUAAACUGGAACAGGUUUCAGAAUUAUCACAGAAGCCAUUUCGUGGCUAAUCCACUGUGCCCCACUCACCCUAUCCCCUGAUCUGUAUAUGGCGCAGGAAGUAUUCCUUCUUGUUCCUUUAUACUCCAUGAACUUGUGUGGGUAUUUUUUACCCCUGAAUUCUACUGGAUGUGUUUACUACUCCCCCUGUCCUAUCUUCUGUUCUCUACACUUCUGUCCCCCAACCCCAUGAAGCUGUUUUCUGUAAGUCUUUUAAAUCUUGGUUAGACUAAAGGCUGAAACAAAAAUCUCCCUGUAAUCCUCUUCCUCUAUCAUACAGUGCACUGACACCUGGCUACAGACCAGGACAUUGCUUGUGUUCUGCCCCUUUCUCAAAAGUUCUCUAGACCUUCACUCUCAAUUAGUGGUUAGGGAAAACCCUCAGGCAGAACACAAAUAGAAAUUUUAUGAUGUAUUCAACUCCACCAGAAAUUACUUAGUCAGCAUGGAUGGUAUUAGAGGAGUUAUCAUGUUGCUGACACAAUGUACUUUAUGGUUUGUUGGUCUCCCCGCUUCUCACUCUCAAAACCUAGAGAGUGAAACCUAUACAAUGAGAUGAAGUCUAAAAAGACAAAUCCCUUCCUUCAUACAGUGUACAACAGUUACACAAAAUUUCUCCUUCUCAGGAAAAUCAAAUGUUCAGAAGCAGCAAUUUUCCAGGAAGUUAGUAAGGAAGACAGGACACACAUUUGUGCAUAGAUGUUGUUCUUUUGUAUUUUUAGCUCCCCCAUUUGCCUAAAAGUACAGGCUCUCCAAGAAGAGAUGGAGAGAUUGAAUCGUUAGUAGGUAUAAAUAGUAAAUACAAC